rnacentral:rRNA from 1 species
CACGUAGUUAGCCGUCCCUUUCUGGUAAGCUACCGUCACAGUGUGAACUUUCCACUCUCACACCCGUUCUUGACUUACAACAGAGCUUUACGAUCCGAAAACCUUCUUCACUCACGCGGCGUUGCUCGGUCAGGGUUGCCCCCAUUGCCGAAGAUUCCCUACUGCUGUCUCCCGUAGGAGUCUGGGCCGUGUCUCAGUCCCAGUGUGGCCGAUCACCCUCUCAGGUCGGCUAUGUAUCGUCGCCUAGGUGAGCCAUUACCUCACCUACUAGCUAAUACAACGCAGGUCCAUCUUGUAGUGGAGCAAUUGCCCCUUUCAAAUAAAUGACAUGUGUCAUCCAUUGUUAUGCGGUAUUAGCUAUCGUUUCCAAUAGUUACUCCCCCGCUACAAGGCAGGUUACCUACGCGUUACGUCACCCGUUCGCACUACACUACCAACGAAGAGCAAGCUCCUCUCUUCACGCGUUCUACUUGCUAUGUAGUUAGCGACCGCCGCCCAGCCGUUCGUCCGUCG